AGACAGUCGAGGCAAGAAAAUCCUGUGAAUCACACCCCCGUGAUGUAAGAAGUAAACGUGUCUCUGUCAUAGAGGUGGUACGUCGUCUGGCCCAGGGGUAAUAGAGGUGGUUAGUGUGUCUGGGCCCAGGGUAAUAGAGGUGGUUAGUGUGUCUCUGGCCCAGGGUAAUGAGGUGGUUAGUUUGUCUAGGCCCAGGGGUAUGAUGGUGGUAAGUCUGUCUAGGCCCAGGGGUAAUAGAGGUGGUUAGUGUGUCUGGGCCCAGGGGUGAUAGAGGUGGUAAGUCUGUCUGGGCCCAGGGGUAAUAGAGGUGGUUAGUGUGUCUGGCCCAGGGGUUAAUAGAGGUGUUAGUGUGUUCUUGGCCCCAGGGGGGUAAUAGAGGUGGUUAGCGUGUGUCUAG
rnacentral:lncRNA from 1 species